rnacentral:rRNA from 1 species
ACGAACGCUGGCGGCAGGCCUAACACAUGCAAGUCGAGCGCUACCUUCGGGUGGAGCGGCGGACGGGUUAGUAACGCGUGGGAAUAUACCCAGUUCUAAGGAAUAGCCACUGGAAACGGUGAGUAAUACCAUAUACGCCCUUCGGGGGAAAGAUUUAUCGGUGAAGGAUUAGCCCGCGUAAGAUUAGAUAGUUGGUGGGGUAAUGGCCUACCAAGUCUACGAUCUUUAGCUGGUUUUAGAGGAUGAUCAGCAACACUGGGACUGAGACACGGCCCAGACUCCUACGGGAGGCAGCAGUGGGGAAUCUUAG